rnacentral:rRNA from 1 species
AUUGAACGCUGGCGGCAGGCCUAACACAUGCAAGUCGAGCGGAUGAAGGGAGCUUGCUCCUGGAUUCAGCGGCGGACGGGUGAGUAAUGCCUAGGAAUCUGCCUGGUAGUGGGGGAUAACGUCCGGUAACGGGCGCUAAUACCGCAUACGUCCAGAGGGAGAACGUGGGGGAUCUUCGGACCUCACGCUAUCAGAUGACACUGGGCCGGAUUAGCUAGUUGGUGGGGUAAAGGCCUACCAAGGCGACGAUCCGUAACUGCCCUGAGAGGAUGAUCAGUCACACUGGAACUGAGACACGGUCCAGACUCCUACGGGAGGCAGCAGUGGGGAAUAUUGGGCAAUGGGCGAAAGCCUGAUCCAGCCAUGCCGCGUGUGUGAAGAAGGUCUUCGGAUUGUAAAGCACUUUAAGUUGGGAGGAAGGGCAGUGAGUUAAUACCUUGCCGUCUUGACGUUACCAACAGAAUAAGCACCGGCUAACUUCGUG